ACACAUGCAGUCGAACGAUGAAGCCCUUCGGGGUGGAUUAGUGGCGAACGGGUGAGUAACACGUGGGCAAUCUGCCCUGCACUCUGGGACAAGCCCUGGAAACGGGGUCUAAUACCGGAUACUGAUCGCCUUGGGCAUCCUUGGUGAUCGAAAGCUCCGGCGGUGCAGGAUGAGCCCGCGGCCUAUCAGCUUGUUGGUGAGGUAAUGGCUCACCAAGGCGACGACGGGUAGCCGGCCUGAGAGGGCGACCGGCCACACUGGGACUGAGACACGGCCCAGACUCCUACGGGAGGCAGCAGUGGGGAAUAUUGCACAAUGGGCGAAAGCCUGAUGCAGCGACGCCGCGUGAGGGAUGACGGCCUUCGGGUUGUAAACCUCUUUCAGCAGGGAAGAAGCGAAAGUGACGGUACCUGCAGAAGAAGCGCCGGCUAACUACGUGCCAGCAGCCGCGGUAAUACGUAGGGCGCGAGCGUUGUCCGGAAUUAUUGGGCGUAAAGAGCUCGUAGGCGGCUUGUCGCGUCGGUUGUGAAAGCCCGGGGCUUAACCCCGGGUCUGCAGUCGAUACGGGCAGGCUAGAGUUCGGUAGGGGAGAUCGGAAUUCCUGGUGUAGCGGUGAAAUGCGCAGAUAUCAGGAGGAACACCGGUGGCGAAGGCGGAUCUCUGGGCCGAUACUGACGCUGAGGAGCGAAAGCGUGGGGAGCGAACAGGAUUAGAUACCCUGGUAGUCCACGCCGUAAACGGUGGGCACUAGGUGUGGGCGACAUUCCA
rnacentral:rRNA from 2 species